ensembl:lncRNA
CCGCCGCCUUGAGCCGCGAGCGCGCCGCGGGGGACGAGGGACGGCGCGGCCCCGCCGAAUCACUGGGGCAAGCUGUGACUGAUCUAAGACAUGUGAACUACCUCUUUGUGAACAGAAGUGUAAAGUCAGGUGUUACCUACUGGUGAGGAUGGAAACACAGACCAGGAAGUCACCUUUCCCUCAUCUGUAUAUGGAGAACUGAAUCUUUUGUACUCUGUUGUUUUGUGCUUGAAUGUAAGUAAAGUUUUGCAGUAUGCUUCACUAAUAUAGUUGCUUUCUAGAGACUAUAUAGUUGUCCUAUUUUGACAUGUCAUUCUCUCAGAAAAAUGAUGACUGUUUGAAGACACAACUAUCUGAAUGACUGUGUGCUCCUGAAAGAUACAUAAAUAUCUGUGACACUGGAGAAAUUGGUGGUAGGAUAGUGGAAGGUGUGCACAGCACUAAGACUUUUACUGCUAUGGUGUAUUAUCAAUUAUGUGCAAUCAGUUCAUUGUUCUAUCAAGGCUGUGCAUACUACUUUUGAGGCAACUGCUCCUUCAUCAUACAUUAUUACUUCAGCUGUCCAGCUUCUCUUAUAUCCUGGGUAAGGUGACCAGAAGACCAGAGAACCACUAGUUUGUUUAUUUUGCAACUCCAACAAGUAUUCCUCCUGAAGAUCUAGUCCUGAAAGGUUAUGAUUUUUUAUAUUGAUUUUAUCAGAUAUUCUUCAGUUCUGGGCUUUAAAUAUAUAGCAUUAAAAAAUAAUAAUUAAAAAAAAAAAUCCCUUUUCUACUUUAUUAAAAGAUUUCUCCUGUGAACUGUCUCUACCCAGUGAAUUCCAGAAUCCUUGUUCUUUCCUAACCAGCAGCAACUUACAUGUUUUGAAUUCAGUUCAACUUGCUUCAUCAGGAUGAUUUUUUGCACAUUUUUCUUGUUUAAUUAUAUAAUAUUUCUUUUGCUCAAUUUGUGCAAACAUCCUUUGGACUUGUUACAGUUUGAUUUUCUGUCAAGGAUAGUUGCAAAGAAGAGGAAAUGAUAUUCAGAGAAAAUAGUGCUAGAAUGUAACUUAUUUGCAAUUCCAAUAACAACUUUGUGAAUUUGAACACGUUAGUAAAGAACAUUUCAUUCAAGUGUACAGUACCACAGGACUUGCUAAACACGUCUGAGAAUAAAGCUACUCCCAUCUGGGCAAAUUAGAUGGAUAACAUCAUUUGCGUAUUAGCUACAGUCAGUAUAGUUCUCUUAAUUGUUUAUCACACUAAGGUUAACUUUCAUUUAUAUUUGCUUAAUUCAUAAUUGGAAUAUCACACUUGAUAUGCUCAGUGACUACUUAAAAAAAAAAGGUAACGAUGCAAAUGUUGAGCAACAUAAAACUAGAAGGGCUCUUCUGAGUCAUCAAUUUGACUGAUAUCAUCAAUAAUAACAUUCAUAAAUCUGUCUCUUAAAACCAGUUGAGUUCCUUGCUUCUGCUGUGUAAUUGGAAGUAUGUCACAGUACCCUAAUCCUUCCGCAUUUAGAAUCUUUCCAUUUGCUAAACUAAAAUGUAUUCCUUUGUUCGUAUGAUAGUACUGUUUCAUUAUCUAAGUAGUUUUUUUUUUUCCUCCUAUAUUCAUAAUGCAUGAUUUAUUUGUAGAAAACACUCCCUCUCAUUGUUUACUUCCCGGAGGUGAGUAAAACAACUCCUCUCAGUCCUCUUCUGUGAUAUGUACAUUCUCUUGCCCUGAACAUGGGUGGCAAGCCAUUAGUGCACUUUAAUUUCGGCUGUACUGGCAACUUUUAAGCCCUUUCCCCCAUAUAGAUGGAAGCAGAAAUACUGCAUAGUCUCAUGUGAAUGGCAGCAGGAGCUGUCAAUGAGUUCUGCUGUCUCUACGGAAUGUGUUCAGAAGUACUGGUGGAAGCAACCGGUUGACGGUUGACUUCUUGUUCUGACUAACUGAACAGAUGCACCAGUGUUUCAGUUACAACUCCUUGAGGCAGCUAAGCUAAUCCUUUCAUGGAAAAUCAACUUAAAUAUUUCUCUUAAAAUUAGAGAACACUGUAGUAAUUUAGCUUGGAAAGGUAUUAUGAUUUGUAAUAACUGAGGACAAAUCUUGCACUGGUGGAAGAAUGAGGGGCUUAGCUAUGGAGCUGUGGAGCAACUCUGCUGAAAAGAUCCAGAGGGACCAUAGCAGACAGGAUGUCAAGCAUGAGCUAGCAGUGUUCCUGGAGCAGAGAGGGCCAACAGCAUCCUGGGCUGUUUUAAGAAAGUGAUUUCAGGUGGGAUCAAAGACAGUGAUUUUUUUUCUCCUUUAUUCAUCACAUGUUAGACAGCAUUACUUAGUUCAAUUCAGUAUCCCUUCUUUCUUGGCUGCAUCUUAUAUUCAGAUCCCCUUCCUUCAGGAAAUAACAUCAAGCUAGGUUUUAUUAAUCUUUGUCUUCAAAAAAUACAUCACAACAAUCUUCUACAGUACUAUUUCAGUCAAAUUAAUUAUCUUUAAACUUGUAAGUUAUGAAAAAAGCUGGUGUACUCUUUCACCUGUAAUUCAACUGUAGGCAGACAAGUAAAAAAUACUUCACUUAUAUGAAAUAAAACUUUGAUUACAACAGGGUUUGUGUCUUCAUGUCUUUUUAGGAUUCAGUGAUUCUGAAGACUCUGGGUCCCAGAGUAAUUAUUUCAGCCACAUUUUCUAGGAAUUGUUGGAUUUCUGAUCUUUUUUUUUUUUUUUUUAACUGUUUCUAAGACAACAGUGCUACAGUUUUAUUUAUUUAUUUUCUUUUUCCAAGAGAGGUAAGCAGGUCGUAUUAGAUAAGCCACAUCAAAAUACAUUCUUAUAUUUUCAAUUAGAGAAAAACUUAUCAUGUUUCCUAUCCCUAACAUUUGUUAUAUGUCCAAAACAAAACAAAACAAAACAAAAACACAUAAUAAUGAAGCUGCACUAUUUCAGUUGUACUUACUCAAAAGCCGAGGCAAGGUCAAAUUUUAGCAGGAGACCACAUUCCAUAUUAGAACAAGCAGAAUAUCCACUUCAAACUGCAAAUGUUGCUGUCUCCUCUGGUGCAGUAAUUCUGUUGCUGCUAGGUAUAACAGUCAGUCUACUGUAACAGUGCCUACAAGUCUAGAGCUUACAUUACCUAAAAAAAGAGUAUCGUAACACCUAUUUCUCCCACUCACCUGCAGAAUCUGAAAUUUUUCAAAUAAUUAAUUUGUUUUAUGUGUAAUAAAACCUUACCAUAAAUGGUUGGAUACACCCAUUAAUGACCUUUUUGUCAUCUGUCUAGUUAAGUCAUCUUAGUUUGCUUACACACCAACUCUUCUGACUCAGCCUUCCUGAUUCUUAAACAAAUUUGUUCUGUGGUUCAUACUGAUAAGAAGAUACUUUUCUAGGGGGCUUUUGCUUACUUUACGAGUUGAAAGACUGAAUUCUCACAGGAAGUUACUUUUACCAUGCUCCAAAAUAAGAUAGGGGUAUUCAAAUACUAAUGUGUUUUAAAUGCUGAUGUAUUUGCAGAACUUAAUGACCAAGUGGGCUGUUACCAUGGAUAUUUUCUCACAUGUGUAAUUAAAGCAAUAUUAUUACCUGAAUAAUGAAUCAUUUUUAGAUAGGAAAGGUUGCCAGGGCAUUUAAUCAGUAAAGACUAAAGUUUAUAGCUACUUUUUUUCUGUUGAAUCAGAGGAAAAUUUGUAUGUAUUUACAGCAUUAUUUUGAAAAAUCACCAAAACUUCAGGGUGCUUCACUUUUUGUGUGAUUCUCCUGAGAUAUAGUUAAUAGAUAUGUUGUGAUUUCUCCUUUUAUUCAAAAUAGUUUUAAUAAGGCAGCUUAACCUGUCAUGGAAAGCCAUUCCUGUGACAGCAGUGUCCCUGCAGGAAGGGGAACUGACGUGUAUCCACUGCAUGUAUUUCUGAUUCCCAAGACAUAAGGAAGAACUGACUAGACUCUGAGCCUCUCCACAUGCUUAGUGUUCCUUCUGAAGGAAACUAUGCAAGAAAGAGUUACCGUCCCUGGAGGUAUUUCUAGUGAGUCAACAUCUCUAACAGUAUUUAAGAGAUAUGUGUAUGUCACAUUAAGGUGUAUGGAUUAGUGAUAGCCUUGGUAAUGUUAGGUUAAUGGUAGGACUUGAUGAUCUUUUGAGGGUCUUUUGCAACUUAAGUGAUUGUAAGAUUCUAUACAUACAUAUCCUACAGUUACAGGGAAUUUGAAUACAUGUCCACAGUUGGGACUUCCAUGCAGUAGAGAUGUUCUGCAUUUAGGUAUGGGAAACAUCAUUUUUCUGUCUCUUUCUGUUAUGAGGAAUGUUCUUCACUCAGAUUGUUUUUGGAUUUCAAUACAUGUAGCCCCAUUCUUACAAAAUUCAGAGUUACCUGGGUAUAGUGCUCAUCAUUUUACGACUGCACACAUGGCUAUGCGUAUUAGAUUGGCUGACUGUCUUCCUAUAGCUCAGGCAUUCUGAAACAUUUUUUAAGGUGAAGGAAACAUCCAUUAUAUGUAGUAGGAUCACAACAGUACUUGAAUUUGUUUUAAGUUUGAUAAAGGAUUUUAUUUCUCUGAGAAUCGUAUAACUUGUAGCAGGUAGGACAUAUGAUAUACUUGCAGUUUGGAGAAAGUGGUCAGGUGAAUAGAGCUUAAAGUAGGUCUCCAUCCAGGGUCUCCACCUUCUCUGACUUUUAGGAGUCACCAGUGGGUGUUUUGAGAGAUGAUACAAUUCAACCCAAAGUUUGAUGAUUCUUUGUAGAGGUGCUUUUUUCUUUCAUCAUACACAAAGGCAAUUAGACUUCUAGUGUGCAUACAGAUGACUGUGUUGUAGGCACAUGGACUCAAGUGUCAUAAACACUAUAAGCUCUCCUUUGCUCCACUUCUCUGUUCAUAAAAAGAGGAAUAUACUUUUACCCUCUCUCAUAGAUACAGAGACAAUUUUACUGACUAUGAGAUUCUUGGAUAAAGUGAUGAGGCCUACAUGACACUAAAAACAAACUAUAUGACCACAUAAAUAUUGCCUAUGUCCAGAAAACCCACCCUGACACAGAGGUUAUCUAUAAUAUUUAAUGUAGAAUUGAUCAUGCAACUUACAUUAUUAUUGCUACACAUAAUGAUUCAGAUUAAAUCUUAAUGAUUUGCAUUGUGGUUUUGGUCAUAACUGCACCUAUGACUGUUUCUAAAGCUUCCUCUUACGUAGACUUAAGAUAAAGCCCAAGUACAACUUUGUAGUAUUGCUUCCCUCAUAGUUUCCAUGCCAGCAGUUUUUUUCCUGCUCAGCUCAGUCAGUGUUCUGGCUUUGUUCUUCAAACAGAUAAGUCCAUCUUAGCUCUCAUAAGAUUAAUCAUCAGGUUUUUAAAAGGGACUUUUGUUAAUUUUGAACUUAUUAAAAUUACUGUCAAAAAUCUGUUGGGAAUGGAUUUAUUUGUAUCUUUUAGAAGUCACGGAAGUUAAUGUUUUAUCCCUACCUGGGAACACACCUAGCAUUAAUUUCCUUCUGCAGACAAUUCUCUUUUAUGUGAGCUGGGAUAUGAAUUUAUUGAAUGCACAGUGAAGAUGCUUCUGCCCAUAAACAUAUCAACUCUCCAGGACCUUCCUAAUUCUCAGAAAAGCUCUGUUUGUAUUUUCAAGGAGAUACUGUCAUCAUUUUGUAUUUGCCAGAAUAAUAGCUUUGUUCUCUUAAGGAAAAUAAUAAUUUGAAUGUGAAAAAUUUCUUGGCUUCUGACUUAGUGUAAUGGUUUCAUUGGCCCAAUUUAGGAAUUUUAGAAGCUUUGGAUUAUUGGUUUUGAUACGGUUUAGAAGCUAGAUUUUUAGCAGUACUCAAUCCCUUCAUGUAUUACUGUUCUCAGAGGAAAAAGUAUCCCUUUGAAAGUCAGGAUAUUUUAUAUGCAUGCCUCCCCAGGAUAUGAGAUGUUCUAAAAAUCUUCAUGUUUAUUUACUGCAUAAAAUUGAGUUCUUUUAAUACUUUAAAAGACUGGUCCAAAAUAUAAUUGAAAUAGAAUAUAUGCCCUAAUACUUUCCUCUUGUACAUUCCAGUAGUAUUUUGAAUUUUCCGUCUCUUAGCUGCACUUUCAGUUUAAACUCUUAGUUUUUAGCACACUCUGAACUUCUCAUUAACUGAUUUUCGUGACAGUAAAAAUGAGAGAAGUUGUCAAGCCAAGCAUAACCAUGCCAGUGGCUUGGAAGAGUUAAGCUGAUUGUGUUGACACAAAGUUCUUUCUGCAGGAAUGUGAUGAGUCAGUUCAGACACUAGUUAAAAAUUUUAAUUUUAGAUAGAGUAACUGAAAAUAAUGGGACUUGUCUGACUAUUUAGUUAAGUAGUUUUUUUACGUGGGACUAGGAGUUACAUAGUCACUAACUUGGGCAGAAGUGUACUGAGUUCGUCCUGAAAAAUUGUGUAGAAUAUAUUACUCAUUCAGCAAGGGAUAGGAUUUAGAAGUUAGAAGACUUGCUAUAAUUAAUUCAUUACACAUAAGGAUUAUAAGCAAGAUUAAACAAACAAACAAACAAACAAACAAAACAAAACAAACAAAUAAAAAAAAACAGAACAAAUUGUCCAGAUAGUGGUUAACUUUGUUUUAACUCUUUUAUUGUUUAUGACAAAGACAAGGGUGUUUAACUGUGGAGUAAAGAGAAACAAUAUUUAACAUUAUGUAGUUUUUCUCAGGAUAACAUGGAUAAAUUAUAAGCUACCUAACUGGCUAUAUAAAACAUUGUUUAUGAGUAAGUUUCAAUAAAAACCUGCCAAGGAGGCUUGUUAAGAAAUUUCUAAUCACAUGUAGAUGAUUGAACAAGAACGUUUAAUCUUGCUUAUAAAUAUCACAAUCUUUUGGUUUUAUCUUACACCUGAACUCUUUCCUAUUUUCUUCUCAGUUCAUUCUGCUCUUCAAAACAAAUCUCUGAUUAAUUGCCCUGUGUAUCAGAAAAUUAUAAAAGUUAUCUGAUCUAAGCAAAUAAUUAACAAGUCACUCCAGGCAUUUAACUGUAAUUCAUCAAGUCUCGCCACAAAACUGUAUGUUACAAAAAUCCUUUAAGCUCUAAACUGGCAAAACUUCAUGGCUAUUGUGGGUGGAUUUUCAAGAAUAAAAUGAAUUGAAGAAUAUUCAGUUAAAACAGAAAUAUUAAAGUCUACCUAAUAUUAAUCCAAAUAUCUAACAGUAAACCUUAUCUGAUGCUAAGAAAAAGCAAAAGUAUCUUUUUUUUUUUUUUUUUUUUGUAUGCUUUCACCCUAUGGAAAUGUCCAAUUACUCAGAUAUGGUUAGCAAAUUUAUUGUUAAUCUGGCCACAAAGCAAGCAAGGAAUGGAUUGAAGCGGAAAAUACAGAUUUACUACGAGUUUAUGGAGAAAAUCUGCACAUAGAGAGUAUAACAUCAAGAAUUACUAGAAUCCAGUAUUAAGGACUGAGACAUAUUUGAACAAGGUGGAGUGCUUCCCCCUGCUAAAUGCAUUUUUGUAGGCACACUUGAUAAUAAUUCAGGAGCCAAUCCAACUGUUAGAAAAACACUGAAUAGAAAUUCAC